rnacentral:rRNA from 1 species
GUGCAUUGCGCAGCUACCAUGCAGUCGAGCGGCCGCCAGGAGAGCUUGCUAUCUGGGUGGCCAGUGGCGGACGUGUGAUGAAUACGUCGGAAUCGCUCUGUCGUGGGGGAUAUACUAGGGACACUUACGCUAAUACCGCCCACCACCUACGGGUGAAAGCCGGGGACCUUCGGGCCUUGCGCAAUUGUAUGAGCCGAUGUCGGAUUAUCUAGUUGGCAUGGCAAACGCCCGCCAAGGUGACGAUCCGACUCUGGUCUAAGAGGAUGAUCACUCACACUGGAACUGAGACACGGCCCAAACUCCUACGGGAGGUAGCUCCGGGGAAUAUUGGACAAUGGGCGCAAGCCUGAUCCACCCCUACCGCGAGGGUGAACUUCGCCUUCGGGUUGUAAAGCCCUUUUGUUGAAAAAGAAAUCCUGCUGGCUAAUACCCGGUUGGGUUGACGGCACCCAAAGAACAGACUCCGGCUAACUUCGUGCCAGCAGCCGCGAUAAUACAAAGGGUGCUAACGUUACUCAGAAUUACUGGGCAUAAAGCGUGCAUACGUGGUAUCUUAAGUCCGGAGUAAAAGCCCUGAGCUCAGCCUGGGAACUGCAAUGGAUACUGUGCGACUAGGAUGUGGUAGAGGGUAUUGCAAUUCCUGGUGUAUUACUGAAAUGCAUAUACAUCAGCAUGAGCAUCCAUGGCGAAUGCAUCUACCUGUACUAACAUUGACACUGAAGCACUAAAGCGUGGGGAGCAAUCUAGAGUACAUACCCUCGUCGUCCACACCCUAAACUACGCCAGCUGAAUGUUGUCUGCAAAUUAGCACUCAAAUCAAAGCUAACGCUUCACGCUCGCCGCCUAGCGAGUACAGUCACAAGACUCAAACAAAAAAACGUGCCGGCUCCUCACAUUAGCGGUGUAGUAUUUGGAUAAUUCUAUGCAACGCGAGCACCUUCCCUGCACGUGCAUGUCGAUAACUUCCGAUAGUGUGAUGGCUGCUUCGGGAACUCGAACACAGAUGCUGCUGUCUGCCUUCGUCUCGAGUUUUAGAUGUUGGCUCAAAUCGCACAGCGAGCGCAACUCUUUGAUCCUAGUUGCCGAUGACUGAUGGUGCG